GAUGAACGCUGGCGGCGUGCUUAACACAUGCAAGUCGAACGGAAAGGCUCCUGCUUGCAGGGGUACUCGAGUGGCGAACGGGUGAGUAACACGUGGGUGAUCUGCCCUGCACUUCGGGAUAAGCCUGGGAAACUGGGUCUAAUACCGGAUAGGACCACAUUUUGGAUGGUGUGGUGGAAAGUUUUUCGGUGUGGGUUGAGCUCGCGGCCUAUCAGCUUGUUGGUGGGGUAAUGGCCUACCAAGGCGUCGACGGGUAGCCGGCCUGAGAGGGUGUACGGCCACAUUGGGAAUGAGAUACGGCCCAGACUCCUACGGGAGGCAGCAGGGGGGAAUAUUGCACAAUGGGCGCAAGCCUGAGGCAGCGACGCCGCGUGGGGGAUGAAGGCCUUCGGGUUGUAAACUCCUUUCGCUAGGGACGAAGCGUUUUUGUGACGGUACCUGGAGAAGAAGCACCGGCUAACUACGUG
rnacentral:rRNA from 1 species